AUCAUGCCCUGUAUUCCAUCGCUGUCUUGUAUUUUAGUUAUGCAUUUUCCAACAACUCACUACUUAACAAAAUUAUUCAAAUUACUCUAUUAGCAAUACCUAUUUUAUUUGUCUAUAUUUUUACUAGUUUCUGUUCACCAUUUUUCUUUUAUUGCUCAAAUUCAUUUCUUUUUCCUUUGUGUAAAUAACUAGAAUCAUACAAAUGAGAUGAGCAGAGACCAUUUAUUGAGAGCUUGUUACAGCAAGUGUGCCAGUCCUAACUGUAUUUGGCAGAGACUUAAAGGCAAACAGAAAAGUGGGAAAGCUUUGUAAUGGGGGGAAAAAAAGGAUUAUUUUUUUUCUUUUGCUGAGCUCUGACGGAAAGUUUGAAGAAAUCUAAGCAGAAAUGGAAAAUCUUCCAUUAUUGGUUUGGAAAAUAUGUUUGCUUUUUUUUCUGUUAUGUACUGAGUUAGAAGAAAUUGAAAAGUAAAUGUAGGGAAGUUGAUAGAUAGUUGGACAUUUGACAAAUCUUGGUAAAUUGUCAUGGACCUUGUGCUUGGUCUUCCUGGACUGGUCAGUGCUGAGGCUGUGGGUCAGAGUCCUGUUGCCAAUAUGAUCUAAUCAUCGUAUAUUUGUAUGUUCUCCCACCAUACAAUGCUAGGGAAAUAUGUAAUUUUAUUCAUUUAAAUAUGUCUUUAUUUUUUCCAGUCUUGAAUAACACUUUUCCUGAGUCUAGAAUUUUAUUUCAUUGGAUUUCUUCUCACUUGCAGUUUGAAAUUAUCUCAGUCUUCUAAAGAUUAACAAGACACAUAAUUUCCAAGGAAAUCCUAAACUGGAAGGAUCAGGAUAACUGUUUGCCCAAUUAAUUUACAGAAUUUUAGACUUGAGCUAGGAAAUACAGCUCAUUUUCUUUAGUCCUCUGUUUUCAUUCAAGUUUGCAAUCUUAAUUCUUCCUGUAGACCAAUAUUUACGACUGUGCAUGAUCAUCUCUCAACAGCAAGAAUUUAUGGAGGAGAUCUUGUAUGCAGAGGAGAAAGAUAAAAAGAUGGAGGAAUCCCACACAUUAAAUGAGAUUAGAGAGAUAUGUAAAUUGUGGGAAACAGUCUAGAAUUUUGUAGAAAAGCACUAUAAAUAAAAGGUUGUAGUGGUGUGAGUGAUGAAUCUGUUAAAUGACAAUGCAAUGUCAUAUCCUCAAAUGGAGGCAAAAGCAAGUGUCACUUCAUAGGUUCCUUGUUAAAAUUGCACAAAAAGAAAAAGAUUGCAUUUAAUCAAUAGAUAGCAGCAAUCCCAUUUGUGUUAGUAAAAGUUGUCUUCCCAAUGAGGAAUGUAACUGUAUUGUAUACCUAAAACAUACCAAUAAACUAAAUGGAAAAAAAAAAAAGGAAGUUGUCCUGCAAAAUGACUCUGCUCUCUUUUUACCCUCACACCAGCCACAAAGGUUUUCAAAAGUAAG